UUCGUGUGCGGCGCCGUUUCUUGUCACGAGGGUGUCUAGCCAGGGACGCGUGUUACCUCCUGGCGUUCACUCGGUUUCGUGACGCUUCCUGCCAGUGUACCUCGUACCUUGUUUAGCAAUAAGGUAGAAAGCUGGACUAGUUGGAACGGAUGCCUACUUGAAAUCAGCGUGAAAAACAAGUCAGAUGGAUUGUGCUUAAGGUGCCCACCAGACCAGUGUUAUGUUCGAGGUGUUUUUCAGUGCACGUUUAUCGAGCAUUGAAGAGGUUCUGCAGUUGAGAUGCAUGCACAUGUGUUCGUCAACCGGCAGCGCUGGAUGGGCUUACAGCACCCAUGACCGUCGUCACUGCAUGUGGUGGAAUCGUGCGUCGGCCUCUACGUAUAACUCGCUCCCCUAUUGCUCGCCGAAGUCUUGAUCAUUCGCAAAAACCGAGUUCUGCUCCACUUAGCUGAUAUCUGUAUUCACGGCUUUAGGAAGCAUGCGGCCUUCUACGAGUUUCGCGCUCAAGUAAGGAGCGCCCGUCUCGCGUGCGCAACCUAAGACGACGUGUCCAAGGUCCGAUGAAGACGCGCUGUCGUUUUCCCUACGCAACUUUCGCACCUCUGUAAGAGUGCGAGCCAAAGCGCGAAGAAAAACUGUCAAGUCCGUUUCUUUGCAGAGUGUAUGACCACGCGUAACUGUUUGGAAAGAAGAGAAGCCGCUUAUUUAUGGGAACCGGCUGCCGCACGCAUGGACGCUUGUGCGCGUAGCGAAGUGAGAGAGGAAUCGCGUGACGCGAAUAAUCGCGCACGGGCGCACAGCCGUGUACAGCUUGUCACGGAUCGCGCGUUGGCGGCGGCCCAAGGACAAGACCGCAAAGCAGAUACGCUGCCAGCAACUGCCACCGUGUGUGUGUAGGGCCAUCUUCUGACAGGAGGCGGGAUCGGGGGACGUAUCGAGACGGCAGACCGAGCGCUAAGCAGGAUUGUACACUCUGUAACAAAUGAAACUUAUAGAAUCCAAGCACGCGGUUUUUGGCGGUAUAUUACGCGCUCUAUGCGCAGGCGUGCUGAGAAAAGUCGCCCCUAAAGAGCCAAUAGAGAGCUUUGACACGCCGUAUAUAGCCGCCGUGGGGGCGUACAGUAGUGCCUAUAUGACGUUCUCCUGCGCCCAGCAAGAGGCCCUGGAUUCGAUUCAUGAGCGCGGCCUUCC